rnacentral:rRNA from 1 species
AGAGUUUGAUCAUGGCUCAGAAUGAACGCUGGCGGCGUGCUUUACACAUGCAAGUCGAGCGAGGCCGGGGAGCAAUCCCCGAGUCGAGCGGCGAACGGGUGAGUAACGCGUGGAUGACCUGCCCUUUAGCGUGGAAUAACCCGGGGAAACUCGGGCUAAUACCGCAUAAGACCGAGAGGUGAAAGGGGGCUCGCAAGGGCUCUCGCUGAAGGAGGGGUCCGCGUCCGAUUAGCUAGUUGGUAGGGUAAUGGCCUACCAAGGCCACGAUCGGUAGCCGGCCUGAGAGGGUGAUCGGCCACACUGGAACUGAGACACGGUCCAGACUCCUACGGGAGGCAGCAGUGGGGAAUUUUGCGCAAUGGGCUAACGCCUGACGCAGCAACGCCGCGUGGAGGAUGAAGGUCCUUGGAUUGUAAACUCCUGUCAGCGGGGAAAAAGCGACCGUACCUCAUACGUACGGGAGUUGAUUGUACCCGCAGAGGAAGCCCCGGCUAACUCCGUGCCAGCAGCGGCGGUAAUAC